CGCGUAGGCGGCCUGAUAAGUCAGAUGUGAAAGUCCACGGCUCAACCGUGGAAGUGCAUUUGAAACUGUCAGGCUUGAGUAUCGGAGGGGAGUGUGGAAUUCCCGGUGUAGAGGUGAAAUUCGUAGAGAUCGGGAGGAACACCGGUGGCGAAGGCGACACUCUGGACGAAUACUGACGCUGAGGCGCGAAAGCGUGGGGAGCAAAC
rnacentral:rRNA from 1 species